UUGCCGAAAAUAUUUUGUUAUAUAUAAAUAGAACUAGACUGGAAUACUAUCAAAACACCAAGCUAUUGGUGCUAUUAGUUUUAUAACCCUUGGAUUGAGAAAUGUGAGGUUAGGGUGAAGUGGGCCUCUAGGGUUGAAUGGAUGGUUGGUUGAAUAGUAUAAUCUAACGGGUAAAAAUAAUCAAAAGAUUAAAUCUAACGGUGGAAAAUUCGAUAACACCAAACCCUUGGUGCUAUAUAUCGAUAGUAUCCCAGCCGGACUCUAUAUAUAUAUAGAUAAUAAUGAAGUUGGAAUACUUUUGAUAGCAAAAAAAUACUAUUUAUUAUCGACUAUUUAAG
rnacentral:lncRNA from 1 species